GAUGAACGCUGGCGGCGUGCCUAAUACAUGCAAGUCGAGCGAACAGAUGAGGAGCUUGCUCCUCUGACGUUAGCGGCGGACGGGUGAGUAACACGUGGAUAACCUACCUAUAAGACUGGGAUAACUUCGGGAAACCGGAGCUAAUACCGGAUAAUAUAUUGAACCGCAUGGUUCAAUAUUGAAAGACGGUUUUGCUUUCCCUUAUAGAUGGAUCCGCGCCGCAUUAGCUAGUUGGUAAGGUAACGGCUUACCAAGGCAACGAUGCGUAGCCGACCUGAGAGGGUGAUCGGCCACACUGGAACUGAGACACGGUCCAGACUCCUACGGGAGGCAGCAGUAGGGAAUCUUCCGCAAUGGGCGAAAGCCUGACGGAGCAACGCCGCGUGAGUGAUGAAGGUCUUCGGAUCGUAAAACUCUGUUAUUAGGGAAGAACAAAUGUGUAAGUGACUAUGCACGUCUUGACGGUACCUAAUCAGAAAGCCACGGCUAACUACGUG
rnacentral:rRNA from 1 species